CGUGAGUGGCGGACGGGUGAGUAACGCGUGGGCAACCUGCCCCGUACAGGGGGAUAACAGCCGGAAACGGCUGCUAAUACCGCAUAAGCGCACAGCGCCGCAUGGCGCGGUGUGAAAAGCUCCGGCGGUACGGGAGGGGCCCGCGUCUGAUUAGGCAGUUGGCGGGGCAGCGGCCCACCAAACCGACGAUCAGUAGCCGGCCUGAGAGGGCGGCCGGCCACAUUGGGACUGAGACACGGCCCAAACUCCUACGGGAGGCAGCAG
rnacentral:rRNA from 1 species